AUCUAUCCCGAAGUUUCGGGACUGAUUGCAGUGGCACGAAGUAGAGCGGAAAGCAGGAAUAGAG
rnacentral:sRNA from 1 species